GACGAACGCUGGCGGCGUGCUUAACACAUGCAAGUCGAACGAAGAGCGACGGAAGCUUGCUUCUAUCAAUCUUAGUGGCGAACGGGUGAGUAACGCGUAAUCAACCUGCCCUUCAGAGGGGGACAACAGUUGGAAACGACUGCUAAUACCGCAUACGAUCUAAUCUCGGCAUCGAGGAUAGAUGAAAGGUGGCCUCUACAUGUAAGCUAUCACUGAAGGAGGGGAUUGCGUCUGAUUAGCUAGUUGGAGGGGUAACGGCCCACCAAGGCGAUGAUCAGUAGCCGGUCUGAGAGGAUGAACGGCCACAUUGGGACUGAGACACGGCCCAGACUCCUACGGGAGGCAGCAGUGGGGAAUCUUCCGCAAUGGACGAAAGUCUGACGGAGCAACGCCGCGUGAGUGAUGACGGCCUUCGGGUUGUAAAGCUCUGUUAAUCGGGACGAAAGGCCUUCUUGCGAACAGUAG
rnacentral:rRNA from 1 species